UUCUGUUUCCUGCAAUUACAUCACAAGAGCUGUGUUGCGGUAGGUGUUCUCCAUGUGAUGUUUAAGCGUGAGUUUCCUUUAAGUGUCUACAAUCUGAACAUCCUCUUGGAGGGUUUAUGCAAGAAUCUGGAAUACGGCAAGACUGUUAUUUUGCUACGAGAGGUAAGGUUGAGUUCUCCGGCGUCGGAUGCUGUUAGCUACAUGAAUGUUAUAAAGGCUUAUGCGAGGGGAAAUAGUUGGAGAAAGCAUUGGAAUUGUUGAAUGAUAUGCAAGGCAUCCAAAAUAAGCAUUUAUGUAAGUGUCUCGCCCUUUCACCACAUCGUAAUUAAUAAGCUCGAUUUUUUUUUCCAAAAUAAUCCCUAGGUUCCAGACAUCCGAGUUGGACUCUGAUACCAGAGCAAAUUAGGACCAUGUGGCUCAAAUGUUUUGCGGUAACCUUCUAUAUAUAUUUAAAAUUGUUCUAAUAUUAUUUUUUAUUUUCUUUGUUUCAGAAAAAUUGGAAUUGGUCCAUAGCGAUCAACAAGAAGGUGAAGGCGUCUUUUGCUGCUGAGGUGAAGGUAUGCUUAGCAAACACUGUCUCACACUGGAAGGACCAGCCUCACAAAGGAAGUAUGGUAUUGGCUCAUCUGGUAUUGGACCAAACCCCACUCUGUCUGAGACGCAGAAAAGUGCUCCGCUUCCCGUAUGAUGAGAGAUGAGCACAGUAAUUUACCGAUGCUUCACACUACCGAGAAAAAAUACCAUGCUGGGCGAAAAGACAUGAAUAAUACCAUCUCUUUUGGAGAUUUUCGAGAAGACACAUAGAACACAGUGUGGGAGUUUUCUGGAUCCUAGGUCAGAAAAGAUCUACAAUGACGUCACUGCUCGGAUUGAGGAGCUCUAGACGCAGCUGAUCUAGCAGUCUCCGGAUGGGUUGCCCAUCACACAGAUGCAGAGGGUUUGUAUCUUAAACGGCAGGAACUCUGGAUUUUAGAUCCACCAGCCCAUUCCGCGGAUGAAGAGGCGGAGGUAGGGAGAAGGAGCAGCUCGGACUACUUCAGCGACGACCUCAACCACUAGCUUUAUUUUUUAUUUUCUAGUUUUGUAUUAUAAACUUAAAUAUAAUUUUUAAAUUAUAUUUCAUAAAUUUUUAAUUAUUUUUAGUUUUUUGGUUCUUUUAUCAUUUUAGUUAUUUUAUAUUUUUAAUUAUUUUUAAAAUUAUUAUUUUUAAAAACAAAAAAAUAGAACAAUGGAAGUAAAUUUGUAGUUACAUUUUCGAGCA